CCUACGGGAGGCAGCAGUGGGGAAUAUUGCGCAAUGGGGGAAACCCUGACGCAGCGACGCCGCGUGAAGGAUGAAGGCCUUCGGGUUGUAAACUCCUUUUCUUGGGGAAAAUGAUGAUGGUACCCAAGGAAUAAGCCACGGCUAACUCUGUGCCAGCAGCCGCGGUAAGACAGAGGUGGCGAGCGUUGUUCGGAAUUACUGGGCUUAAAGGGCGAGUAGGCGGUGAGAUAAGUCUAAGGUGGAAUCCUCUGGCUUAACCAGAAAAUUGCCUUAGAUACUGUUUCACUUGAGUCAGUGAGGGGAGGGCGAAAUUCCCGGUGUAGCGGUAAAAUGCGGAGAUAUCGGGAGGAGGGCCGGUGGCGAAGGCGGCCCUCGGGCGCUGAACUGACGCCGAGGCGCGAAAGCGUGGGGAGCAAACAGGAUUAGAUCCCCUGGUAGU
rnacentral:rRNA from 1 species